CAGAGGCUGUACCUUAGUUACGCCUGCGCAGAAAGACAAUCACUGCCCCUUUUUUCCAAUCACCUUUCCCCAUGCUCCCCGUGUUCCCCACGCCUGAGCGUGCUCUGCUUCUUUGUUAUGCCUACAUACACCCAGUCUCCUUGCCUUCAAGGAGGUGGAUCUGAGAUUUGUUCUGCGGUCUUCUCGCUUGGCUGACUCCUGAGUAAACCCUCACUUUGCUGCAAACCUUGAUGUCUCGGUGUUUCGGCUCACUGUGCUCGAGCAAGAGGAACCUGGUUCGGUAACACCAAGGGGCGGAUUUGUCUCCUCCAGGUAAACUUAGAGCUGCCAUCUUGGUGUAGCCAGCAGUGCAUCGGUCUCACAACCUGAAGGUCUUGAGUUUUAGAUACAUGUUCAGCCUUCUCUACCCAGCUUUAUGCCCUGGGAGACUGACCUCUUUGAAUUUCACCAAUGGGAUCCGUUGUGCUCCAUCCAGUUAAGACUAGAGAAUAAAGAGCACUGGCAGAAGCAUCAAAAGAAGGAGGAGAAUAAGGAAAAUCCUGGCUCUCUUCUGUGGGCUCUUCUUUGGCUGGCUGUGUCCCAUGACAGCUCUCUCUCUGGCGAAUGAAAAACUAAAGGUAGAGGAUAUGCAAAAUGGAGUGAAAAAUAAGGAUCCAAAGAAGAAAUGAACCAUCCUUCUUAUUGCUGGUAUAUUGGCCACAAAUCAAGUCUCCAAUACAGUGAGGGAAAAAGAAUUGAGCUGGGUAUACGAUUGAAGUGAUGGUUUAGAAUGAAGUGAUGGUUUAGAAUGCAGUAAACUCAUUUUAAUUACAAAGUGAGUCUUAAUUACCACAGGGAUAGUGUUCUUAUUAAUGAACAUGAAUAGACAGCCGUAGAAUAAGCCCAAGGUAUCAACAAGAGACAGGAAAUGGAUAUUCAAGGAAGCUUGUUUGAAGUGGUGAAAAAUAAAGAUGUUUAUUCUAGAAAGUUCAAAUUAUUCGUCAUACUGGUUACCUUCAUGUAUUAAAUUUCCUAUUAUCACCUUUUAAAUUUUGC